UUGAUCUCCUGACCUCGUGAUCCACCCGCCUCGGCCUCCCAAAGUGCUGGGAUUACAGGCAUGAGCCACCACGCCCGGCCAAGUGGAAUGAAUUUUCAAGAGCAUUGAAGUUACCAUAAGGGGCCUAGAAAUACUCUGUAUACCUAUAUAGUGCUCUAGGAGCCCUCUGGCACAAAUGGAAGAAGAAAGAAGGGAGCAAGUAGCUAAAAUUAAGAAGAUGGAGAUGGAGAUGGAGCAGGUGUUUGAGAUGAAGGUCAAAGAAAAAGUUCAAAAACUGAAGGACUCUGAAGCUGAGGUACAGCGGACCUUCCUGGCAUCAGAAAAAGGCCUCCAGAAAAAGAGACACAGGUACUAGCAAUUCCAAAUUAUCCAGAGCCCUUCUAAGUUGUAAGAUCUGAAAGAAAUGUCUGCCAUCUAUAUUCUCAGCCACACUUAGUUUCUUAAUCUGCAAGAUGGAAUUAAUAAUAGUACUUACUUUAUGAUGCUG
rnacentral:lncRNA from 1 species